GGCUGCUGAAAAUUCAGCUCACAGAAAUAAAUUACAUUUAAUAAUAUCUAAAAACAGGAAACAGUAAUAACAUAUCACAAUAUUACUUCAACUUUGGGUUUUUCCUGGGGAAAUAUAGUAGCUGCAGACAGUAUUAGUCCAAAAAAAUCAUACUGCAAAAGUCUUAUUUAGUCAUAUAUCAGUAAUCAAAAUAUUGCCUAGUUGUCUAUUUAAAAUAUCCUAACAAGAAGGAAAACAAAAGAGAGAAUUGCAUUAUUUUUGUGAAAAUGGCUUCAGGUUGAAAUGCAAACAUAUUCAUUCAAUUAGAAAAUGCAUUUUUUUUUUUUUUUUUUUUUUUUUCAGCUUAAGUUGCAUUUACCCUUUAAAAGACAUGACAAGCACAUAAAUAACAUAAAAUGUUCUCACUGACAUUUUUAUUUAAAUAUCCUGAAUCCCUGCUCUCCUCCAGGCAAUAUUUUCAGCUUGCGAAUUAGAGGUGUUUGACCUUCUCCUCCAAUCCCAAAAGCCCAUGAGUGCAGUUGAAGUGGCACAGAAGCUUGGCACCAGUGAAGAUGGUGUAGAGCGUUUACUAGAUCUUCUGGUUGCCAUUGACAUUGUGGAUGUGGAAGUGGUGCAGGGAACAGGUCAGAAGAGGAGAUGCUGAAAUUCAUGGGACAACUUUCGAUCUUUCUAACUUCAAGACCGUCAGAGAUCUGGGAGGCUGCUUUGGUGCAUUAGCGUGAGAACUGGCUAAAGAGGAUCCUUCCUCCACUGUCACGGUGCUGGAUCUCCCGGCUGUGGUCCAGACUGCUCAGCAGCAUUUCACCCAGCAAGACGACACCAUCUGUUUUCAAGAGGGUGCAUAAUGACUUAUGACGCAUCGUAACAUUGUUAAUGGUUCGCAUUUGACCGGUUCUCUGUCCUUACAAGCAAAACAAAAAGCAGUCUAAUGGCUGCCCUGACCACAGAAUAUUUGAUGUGUUUUGUGUAACAAUAGUUAAUGAAAACUGAAAUAGAAACUAAAUAAAAGAAAAAAAUUCUUAACUAAAAUAUAAAUAAAAACUAAAAUAACUCGGAAAUGUAAAACUGAAAUACUCAAAAAUGGCCUCAAAUGAAUGUUUCUUAUACAUAAUAUAUCAUAAAACCAUCUGUAUUAAACAUGAACACGUUAAACACUUGAUGACAAUAACACUGUGCUGAUAAAUGCAAUGCUGUUAGGCAUUUUUAAAUUAUACCAGUUAGCACAUUAACUAAGAAAAAUAAAUGAAAAACUACACUACCAUUCAAAAGUUUGGGGUCAGUAAGAUUUUAUUUUUUUUUAAAGAAAAUUUAAUUCAGCAAGGAUGCAUUAAAUUGAUUUAAAGUGGCAUUACAGACAUAUACAUUUCAGUAGAUUUUUAUUUAUAAUAUUUAUACGUAUUUACAACUUAUUUAUAAUUUCUAGCUGAAUUCGCACAGGUCCAUGUCAUGGAGUAAUGGCUGCUGAAAAUUCAGCUUUGCCAUCACAGGAAUAAAUAACAUUUUAAAAUAUAAGGCAGUAAUCAUAUUCAUGCGCAUCUCAGACAUCUGUUGUUCAACCUUGGCCUUGUUUUGUAAAGUUAUAAAGCAUUUUUUUUCUCCAUCAGAGAAUGAGCCCACUCGUGAUCCUUACAAUUCCUUCAAAAGGCUGUUUUAGUACCAAUUAGUUACGUUUUUUGUGAACUUGACACCUGAGGCCUACCAGAUGUAGUCUGAGAAGGGGUGGGAUAAGGAGCUGUUUUGGAUUGGCCAGUGGUGUCAAAUUAAGCUCCUCCCUAUAUCCCUUCUUAUGUAUCUGUGCACCCUUGUCUUGACAAAUGGUUAAGUGUGACCCCUAGUGGUUACUUGUUAAACUAACAUAGUCAAAAAAAAAAAAAUCUUCUAAAAAUGUACACAAUCCAUUGAUUAAAUUGGCAGUAGAUGAUUUUUAACUAAAGAAAAUCUGAAUAUCACUUCUUGGCCUCAUUCCAUUUCAACAAUAUGCUUUUUGUAUCAAAUAGCCCUAAUACAAUUCAUUUACCAUCCUUCUAUAAAAAAAUGGCUCUUGAUUAUUUUUUCAAUUGUUUGUGUACUUUUUUUUUAGUAAAAACCUUGCACCACCCUUGACGUUGUGCCUCACAUUUAUACUUG